rnacentral:lncRNA from 1 species
GUAAUAUUAUGCACAUAUUAUUAGUGAGAGUUUAUUCUGUUUCUGCAGUCCUUGAAGUAGUCGUUCUGAACCAAAGAGAACACUGUGAACUUCUUGACGAAAAUAUUUCCCUAAAUGUGAAUGCUUUGAUCCAGCUGCUCUGCCAGCACUGCCUCUGAGCAAGCGAUCCCUCACCCCAAAUACCAAUCUGUUCUCUAAGAGGCACCACGCCAAUGAAGAGGACAAGAGAGGGCCGCUCUGCUGCAAUACUUGGAGAGAGCCAUGGCAGUGGGCACCCUCUCAUCCAAACACCGAUUUUCUCUGGUGGCAUGAGAGAGAACUGAGAGAAGCUGCACAGAGACCACCUGGGAGCUGCUCUUCAAUCUCGGGACUGAUGGAGGGUGAACAAAGAUCCAGGAGACUGGAAAAUGACCUCUCAAGAGCUAUUCCAGCCAUGAUUACCAACCCUGUAAGAAGGGGGAAAAAAAGGGGUUUUGUGAUGAGUGAGCUCUUUUCUGCAGUACCGGGCUGUGACCUAAGAUGCCUUGGUGUCUGUUCUCAGCUCUCCAGCUGGCUCUCUGGGCAGAGGAGGAUUCUUGACCUUGCCAGGACUUAUGCUCAAGAGAAAAGAAGUCCUUGUACAUACUAUAUAUGAUGAUGAUUCCUUCAACGUGUAAAAAGAUAAGAUUAAAAAGAAUCC